AGAUGGUAUUGGUGAGUCACCCUGUGCCUCUCAAAGUCACUGCUGUCAUUUCAGGAUACACUGCCCCAUGACUUGGGUUGGACCUCAAGAUGAUCUCAAAACACAUGCAAUUUCCAGAGGCAAAGGCCCAUUGUGUGUUAGGAGCUCCAUGUGGCAGACCUACAUAGAUGACACAGGUAAUGCUCCACUUCCUCUUUCUCCCUCCCUUUGUUCUAACAGGUUAAGUUCCCCUUCAGCACUUUGUCAUCUUGUUGUUUUUAAAAAGUUAAACUUGGCCAGCACUCCUUAUUAUGUGUCUCUUAUAUUCCUAUGGAUUGGGGGAUAUAUUUGCUAAGUUAGAAUGUGAAAGUUACUCAAGAAAG
rnacentral:lncRNA from 1 species